UGAAGACUAAACCGAAACCAUGAGUGAUUUAUUUCUUAUAACCUAUUAUCUGAACCUGAAAGAAAUUUCUACCAAGCUCUGACCGAACCUGACUGAUCUGGUUAGGACAUCAACAGGGAAUAUUGAACGGCUGACCACGCACUCUAGCUAACAGCACCCUUUGGAUUGAUAGCCAUUGAGAAAAAUGCAGUCCUUCUCAAUACCGCGGUCAAGUGAGCUGUCAUCUGCAAACACCCGGUCAAGCCAGCCGCCAUCUGGAUUCUUCUGCACGUCUAUUAGUGGAAUUACGGUACGGAGAGACACAAAGCGGCAGAAAACUGACGAACAUCUAUAUUUCAGCAGUUAAAAAUUCUGUUAAAAUAUAUUCUGAAUAACACUGAAUAUUUGCUCCUUUUUUCUACAUGCAUUAUUAAUUUUUCUUCAGAGUUACCAUGAACAUUUCAAUAAAUUCUUUUUCUGAAUGA